UACAGAGGUGGCGAGCGUUAUUCGGAAUUAUUGGGCGUAAAGGGCGCGUAGGCGGCUUGACAAGUCCCGGGUGAAAUCCCUCGGCUCAACCGAGGAACUGCCUUGGAAACUGUCUGGCUUGAGGCCGGGAGAGGGUAGUGGAAUUCCAGGUGUAGCGGUGAAAUGCGUAGAUAUCUGGAGGAACACCGGUGGCGAAGGCGGCAUCCUGGACCGGUAUUGACGCUGAGGCGCGAAAGCCAGGGGAGCAAACGGG
rnacentral:rRNA from 1 species